GACGAACGCUGGCGGCGUGCUUAACACAUGCAAGUCGAACGGAAAGGCCCUGCUUUUGUGGGGUGCUCGAGUGGCGAACGGGUGAGUAACACGUGAGUAACCUGCCCUUGACUUUGGGAUAACUUCAGGAAACUGGGGCUAAUACCGGAUAGGAGCUCCUGCUGCACGGUGGGGGUUGGAAAGUUUCGGCGGUUGGGGAUGGACUCGCGGCUUAUCAGCUUGUUGGUGGGGUAGUGGCUUACCAAGGCUUUGACGGGUAGCCGGCCUGGGAGGGUGACCGGCCACAUUGGGACUGAGAUACGGCCCAGACUCCUACGGGAGGCAGCAGUGGGGAAUAUUGCACAAUGGGCGGAAGCCGGAUGCAGCAACGCCGCGUGCUGGAUGACGGCCUUCGGGUUGUAAACCGCUUUCGCCUGUGACGAAGCGUGAGUGACGGUAAUGGGUAAAGAAGCACCGGCUAACUACGUG
rnacentral:rRNA from 1 species